rnacentral:rRNA from 1 species
GGAAUUGUUCGCAAUGGGCGCAAGCCUGACGACGCAACGCCGCGUGGAGGAUGAAGGUCUUCGGAUUGUAAACUCCUGUUGCCCGGGACGAAUGGCUCCGACCUAACACGUCGGAGUGUGACGGUACCGGGUGAGGAAGCCCCGGCUAACUCUGUGCCAGCAGCCGCGGUAAUCCAGAGGGGGCAAGCGUUGUUCGGAAUUACUGGGCGUAAAGGGCGCGUAGGCGGCCUUCUAAGUCGAACGUGAAAUCCCCGGGCUCAACCCGGGAACUGCGUCCGAUACUGGAACGCUUGAAUCCGGGAGAGGGAUGUGGAAUUCCAGGUGUAGCGGUGAAAUGCGUAGAUAUCUGGAGGAACACCGGUGGCGAAGGUGACAUCCUGGACCGGCAUUGACGCUGAGGCGCGAGAGCCAGGGGAGCAA